rnacentral:rRNA from 1 species
GGGUUGUGAGGUUAAGCGACCAAGCGUACACGGUGGAUGCCCUGGCAGUCAGAGGCGAUGAAGGACGUGCUAAUCUGCGAAAAGCGCCGGUAAGGUGAUAUGAACCGUUAUAACCGGCGAUGUCCGAAUGGGGAAACCCAGUGUGACUCGUCACACUAUCAUUAACUGAAUCCAUAGGUUAAUGAGGCGAACCGGGGGAACUGAAACAUCUAAGUACCCCGAGGAAAAGAAAUCAACCGAGAUUCCCCCAGUAGCGGCGAGCGAACGGGGAGGAGCCCAGAGCCUGAAUCAGCAUGUGUGUUAGUGGAAGCGUCUGGAAAGGCGCGCGAUACAGGGUGACAGCCCCGUACACAAAAGCGCAUGUGCUGUGAGCUCGAUGAGUAGGGCGGGACACGUGGUAUCCUGUCUGAAUAUGGGGGGACCAUCCUCCAAGGCUAAAUACUCCUGACUGACCGAUAGUGAACCAGUACCGUGAGGGAAAGGCGAAAAGAACCCCGGCGAGGGGAGUGAAACAGAACCUGAAACCGUGUACGUACAAGCAGUGGGAGCAUGAGUUUACUCAUGUGACUGCGUACCUUUUGUAUAAUGGGUCAGCGACUUAUAUUCUGUAGCAAGGUUAACCGUAUAGGGGAGCCGGAGGGAAACCGAGUCUUAACCGGGCGUUAAGUUGCAGGGUAUAGACCCGAAACCCGGUGAUCUAGCCAUGGGCAGGUUGAAGGUUGGGUAACACUAACUGGAGGACCGAACCGACUAAUGUUGAAAAAUUAGCGGAUGACCUGUGGCUGGGGGUGAAAGGCCAAUCAAACCGGGAGAUAGCUGGUUCUCCCCGAAAGCUAUUUAGGUAGCGCCUCGUGAAUUCAUCUCCGGGGGUAGAGCACUGUUUCGGCCAGGGGGCCAUCCCGGCUUACCAACCCGAUGCAAACUGCGAAUACCGGAGAAUGUUAUCACGGGAGACACACGGCGGGUGCUAACGUCCGUCGUGAAGAGGGAAACAACCCAGACCGCCAGCUAAGGUCCCAAAGUCAUGGUUAAGUGGGAAACGAUGUGGGAAGGCCCAGACAGCCAGGAUGUUGGCUUAGAAGCAGCCAUCAUUUAAAGAAAGCGUAAUAGCUCACUGGUCGAGUCGGCCUGCGCGGAAGAUGUAACGGGGCUAAACCAUGCACCGAAGCUGCGGCAGCGACACUGUGUGUUGUUGGGUAGGGGAGCGUUCUGUAAGCCUGCGAAGGUGGCCUGUGAGGGUUGCUGGAGGUAUCAGAAGUGCGAAUGCUGACAUAAGUAACGAUAAUGCGGGUGAAAAACCCGCACGCCGGAAGACCAAGGGUUCCUGUCCAACGUUAAUCGGGGCAGGGUGAGUCGACUCCUAAGGCGAGGCCGAAAGGCGUAGUCGAUGGGAAACGGGUUAAUAUUCCCGUACCUGGUGUUACUGCGAAGGGGGGACGGAGAAGGCUAUGUUGGCCGGGCGACGGUUGUCCCGGUUUAAGCGUGUAGGCUGGUUUUCCAGGCAAAUCCGGAAAAUCAAGGCUGAGGCGUGACGACGAGGCACUACGGUGCUGAAGCAACAAAUGCCCUGCUUCCAGGAAAAGCCUCUAAGCCUCAGGUAACAUCAGAUCGUACCCGAAACCGACACAGGUGGUCAGGUAGAGAAUACCAAGGCGCUUGAGAGAACCCGGGUGAAGGAACUAGGCAAAAUGGUGCCGUAACUUCGGGAGAAGGCACGCUGACACGUAGGUGAAGCGGUUUACCCGUGGAGCUGAAGUCAGUCGAAGAUACCAGCUGGCUGCAACUGUUUAUUAAAAACACAGCACUGUGCAAACACGAAAGUGGACGUAUACGGUGUGACGCCUGCCCGGUGCCGGAAGGUUAAUUGAUGGGGUCAGCGCAAGCGAAGCUCCUGAUCGAAGCCCCGGUAAACGGCGGCCGUAACUAUAACGGUCCUAAGGUAGCGAAAUUCCUUGUCGGGUAAGUUCCGACCUGCACGAAUGGCGUAAUGAUGGCCAGGCUGUCUCCACCCGGGACUCAGUGAAAUUGAACUCGCUGUGAAGAUGCAGUGUACCCGCGGCAAGACGGAAAGACCCCGUGAACCUUUACUAUAGCUUGACACUGAACACUGGUCCUUGAUGUGCAGGAUAGGUGGGAGGCUUUGAAGUGUGGACGCCAGUCUGCAUGGAGCCGUCCUUGAAAUACCACCCUUUAAUGGCUGGUGUUCUAACGUAGACCCGUGAACCGGGUUGCGGACAGUGUCUGGUGGGUAGUUUGACUGGGGCGGUCUCCUCCUAAAGCGUAACGGAGGAGCACGAAGGUUGGCUAAUCCUGGUCGGACAUCAGGAGGUUAGUGCAAUGGCAUAAGCCAGCUUGACUGCGAGCGUGACGGCGCGAGCAGGUGCGAAAGCAGGUCAUAGUGAUCCGGUGGUUCUGAAUGGAAGGGCCAUCGCUCAACGGAUAAAAGGUACUCCGGGGAUAACAGGCUGAUACCGCCCAAGAGUUCAUAUCGACGGCGGUGUUUGGCACCUCGAUGUCGGCUCAUCACAUCCUGGGGCUGAAGUAGGUCCCAAGGGUAUGGCUGUUCGCCAUUUAAAGUGGUACGCGAGCUGGGUUUAGAACGUCGUGAGACAGUUCGGUCCCUAUCUGCCGUGGGCGCUGGAGAACUGAGGGGGGCUGCUCCUAGUACGAGAGGACCGGAGUGGACGCAUCACUGGUGUUCGGGUUGUCAUGCCAAUGGCACUGCCCGGUAGCUAAAUGCGGAAGAGAUAAGUGCUGAAAGCAUCUAAGCACGAAACUUGCCCCGAGAUGAGUUCUCCCUGAGACUACAAGUCUCCUGAAGGAACGUUGAAGACGACGACGUUGAUAGGCCGGGUGUGUAAGCGCAGCGAUGCGUUGAGCUAACCGGUACUAAUGAACCGUGAGGCUUAACCUUACAACGCCGAAGGUGUUU